rnacentral:lncRNA from 9 species
UGGCCCCGGUCCGGUGAAAACAAGGAGAUGAAAGAAUAGCCCUUCUCCUCAGUCCCAGCCUCCAAACUGAGCAUGAGGACUCUUCUGGUAAUUGCCCACGAGAGACCUGGACCUGCGUGAUGGAUGCAGAGCCCAUGCAUACAGAGGGCCAACCGUGUUUCCAAAAUGUUCCCAUCUUCUGGUACCGUUGGCAAAGCCUGCGAACAUUCUUGCAUGUCUCAGCACCUAAAGGCAAACAGGCAAAAGCAACAGCAGUGUGUUCCUGCAUCUCUCCCCAGGCCCUCCUUUCCGUGUUUCCUUCGAGCCACGUUCCAGGAAGAAGCCUCC